GGGGGCGUAAAGGUUUCGACGGAGGAUGUGCUAUCAGGGGAAGCCAGGCGAGAUCCCACCUGCUCGUUAAACGGUGGACCCCAUUAAGUGCCAACGAAGAACUCGCUCUAGCCGCCUAAAGCGCGGCUAACGUCCUCUUCGCCCGGCCCGCGGGGCGGGGAAGGGCGUCAACCUAGCGGGCUAGCUCGGUAGCCGCCGCCCGCAGGCUGCCGGGCGAAAUCAGGCGGGCUGGCCAAGGCGCAUCCGGUCCCGGGGAGGCGCCGACGAGCGAGAUCCAAAUCCGGGACUAUCCUGGUAGAUGCCCCUGGGGGUGCUCUUUCGGACGGGGGUUCGAUUCCCCCCGCCUCCACCA
rnacentral:tmRNA from 1 species